rnacentral:rRNA from 1 species
AAACCUCCUUUUAGUAGGGAAGAAGGGAGCUAUGCUACUUGACGGUACCUGCAGAAAAAGCACCGGCUAACUACGUGCCAGCAGCCGCGGUAAUACGUAGGGUGCAAGCGUUGUCCGGAAUUAUUGGGCGUAAAGAGCUCGUAGGCGGUUUGUCGCGUCUGCUGUGAAAUCCCGAGGCUCAACCUCGGGCUUGCAGUGGGUACGGGCAGACUAGAGUGCGGUAGGGGAGAUUGGAAUUCCUGGUGUAGCGGUGGAAUGCGCAGAUAUCAGGAGGAACACCGAUGGCGAAGGCAGAUCUCUGGGCCGUAACUGACGCUGAGGAGCGAAAGCGUGGGGAGCGAACAGGAUUAGAUACCCUGGUAGUCCACGCCGUAAACGUUGGGCGCUAGAUGUAGGGACCUUUCCACGGUUUCUGUGUCGUAGCUAACGCAUUAAGCGCCCCGCCUGGGGAGUACGGCCGCAAGGCUAAAACUCAAAGGAAUUGACGGGGGCCCGCACAAGCGGCGGAGCAUGCGGAUUAAUUCGAUGCAACGCGAAGAACCUUACCAAGGCUUGACAUACACCGGAAACGGCCAGAGAUG